UACGGGGGGAGCAAGCGUUGUUCGGAUUUACUGGGCGUAAAGGGCGCGUAGGCGGUCAGCACAAGUCAGUUGUGAAAUCUCCGGGCUUAACUCGGAAAGGUCAACUGAUACUGUGCGACUAGAGUGCGGAAGGGGCAACUGGAAUUCUCGGUGUAGCGGUGAAAUGCGUAGAUAUCUGGAGGAACACCGGUGGCGAAGGCGGCAUCCUGGACCGGUAUUGACGCUGAGGCGCGAAAGCUAGGGGAGCAAACGGG
rnacentral:rRNA from 1 species